rnacentral:rRNA from 1 species
AGAGUUUGAUCCUGGCUCAGGAUGAACGCUAGCUACAGGCUUAACACAUGCAAGUCGAGGGGAAACGAUAUUGGAAGCUUGCUUCCGAUAGGCGUCGACCGGCGCACGGGUGAGUAACGCGUAUCCAACCUGCCCAUCACUUGGGGAUAACCUUGCGAAAGUAAGACUAAUACCCAAUGAUAUCUCUAGAAGACAUCUGAAGGAGAUUAAAGAUUUAUCGGUGAUGGAUGGGGAUGCGUCUGAUUAGCUUGUUGGCGGGGUAACGGCCCACCAAGGCGACGAUCAGUAGGGGUUCUGAGAGGAAGGUCCCCCACAUUGGAACUGAGACACGGUCCAAACUCCUACGGGAGGCAGCAGUGAGGAAUAUUGGUCAAUGGGCGAGAGCCUGAACCAGCCAAGUAGCGUGCAGGAUGACGGCCCUAUGGGUUGUAAACUGCUUUUGCGCGGGGAUAACACCCUCCACGUGCUGGAGGUCUGCAGGUACCGCGCGAAUAAGGACCGGCUAAUUCCGUGCCAGCAGCCGCGGUAAUACGGAAGGUCCGGGCGUUAUCCGGAUUUAUUGGGUUUAAAGGGAGCGUAGGCCGGAGAUUAAGCGUGUUGUGAAAUGUAGAUGCUCAACAUCUGCACUGCAGCGCGAACUGGUUUCCUUGAGUACGCACAAAGUGGGCGGAAUUCGUGGUGUAGCGGUGAAAUGCUUAGAUAUCACGAAGAACUCCGAUUGCGAAGGCAGCUCACUGGAGCGCAACUGACGCUGAAGCUCGAAAGUGCGGGUAUCGAACAGGAUUAGAUACCCUGGUAGUCCGCACGGUAAACGAUGGAUGCCCGCUGUUGGUCUGAAUAGGUCAGCGGCCAAGCGAAAGCAUUAAGCAUCCCACCUGGGGAGUACGCCGGCAACGGUGAAACUCAAAGGAAUUGACGGGGGCCCGCACAAGCGGAGGAACAUGUGGUUUAAUUCGAUGAUACGCGAGGAACCUUACCCGGGCUUGAAUUGCAGAGGAAGGAUUUGGAGACAAUGACGCCCUUCGGGGUCUCUGUGAAGGUGCUGCAUGGUUGUCGUCAGCUCGUGCCGUGAGGUGUCGGCUUAAGUGCCAUAACGAGCGCAACCCCUCUCCGUAGUUGCCAUCGGGUGAUGCCGGGCACUCUGCGGACACUGCCACCGUAAGGUGUGAGGAAGGUGGGGAUGACGUCAAAUCAGCACGGCCCUUACGUCCGGGGCUACACA